CCUACGGGAGGCAGCAGUGAGGAAUAUUGGUCAAUGGCCGGAAGGCUGAACCAGCCAUGCCGCGUGAAGGUCAGUGCCCUAUGGGCGUUAAACUUCUUUUGUGCGGGAGCAAUAAUGGUCACGUGUGGCCAGACGAGAGUACCGUACGAAUAAGCAUCGGCUAACUCCGUGCCAGCAGCCGCGGUAAUACGGGGGAUGCAAGCGUUAUCCGGAUUUAUUGGGUUUAAAGGGUGCGUAGGCUGUGAGGUAAGUCAGCGGUGAAAUGCCCCCGCUCAACGGGGUGAAGUGCCAUUGAUACUGCCUUGCUGGAAUGCGGAUGCCGUGGAAGGAAUGUGUGGUGUAGCGGUGAAAUGCGUAGAUAUUAGGAGGAACACCAGUGGCGAAGGCAGCCUUCCGGCGCCCUACUGACGCUGAGGCACGAAAGUGCGGGGAUCGAACAGGAUUAGAUACCCCUGUAGUC
rnacentral:rRNA from 1 species